rnacentral:rRNA from 1 species
UUUAACUGAGCGUUCAGUUACUUGACGUAGACCCGAAACCGGGCGACCUACCCAUGAGCAGGAUGAAGCGAAAGUAAAAUUUCGUGGAGGUCCGAACCCACGAGCGUUGAAAAGCUCGGGGAUGACUUGUGGGUAGCGGUGAAAUUCCAAUCGAGCCCGGAGAUAGCUGGUUCUCCCCGAAAUAGCUUUAGGGCUAGCCUCAAGGUGAGAGAUACGGAGGUAGAGCACUGAAUGUCCUAGGGGGUAUUGCACCUACCGAAGACUAUCAAACUCCGAAUGCCGUCAUCUUAUACUUGGGAGUCAGACUGUGGGUGAUAAGAUUCAUAGUCGAAAGGGCAACAGCCCAGAUCGUCAGCUAAGGUCCCUAAAUGUAAGUUAAGUGGUAAAGGAUGUGGGAUUGCACAGACAACCAGGAUGUUGGCUUAGAAGCAGCCACUCAUUCAAAGAGUGCGUAAUAGCUCACUGGUCGAGUGAUCCUGCGCCGAAGAUUUCCGGGGCUAAAACUUACUACCGAAGCUACGGCAUCAGUAAUGAUGGGUAGGGGAGCUUCCCAUACGGGUUGAAGCAUGACCGUAAGGACAUGUGGACAGUAUGGGAGUGAGAAUGUUGGCAUGAGUAGCGAGAUGUGGGUGAGAAUCCCACAGGCCGUAAACCCAAGGUUUCCAGGGGAAGGUUCGUCCGCCC